AACGCACCUUGCGCUCGCUGGUAUUCCGGCGAGCAUGCCUGUUUGAGUGUCAUGAACUCUUCAACCCUCCAAUUCCUUGUUUGAAUUGUGAGGUGUUUGGAUCUUGAGCUUUGCUGGUUUUCUAAUUUAUUAGGAAACGUUAGCUAGUUCGUAAUACAUUAGCAUACUACACCCGAUUAUUUCGGAUUGACUCGGCGUAAUAGACUUUAUUUGCUGAGGACACCUUUCAUUAGGUGGCCGAAUUAUCGAUUUCGUUAGGAGCUUCUAACUCUUCAAUAAUUUUUUUUGAAGUCAAAUUUCUAAGAUUAGACCUCAGAUCAGGCAGGACUACCCGCUGAACUUAA
rnacentral:misc_RNA from 1 species